GUUCAGAACGUCGUGAGACAGUUCGGUCCCUAUCUGGUGUGGGCGUUAGAAUAUUGAGGAAAGCUGCUCCUAGUACGAGAGGACCGGAGUGGACGAACCUCUGGUGUACCGGUUGUCACGCCAGUGGCAUAGCCGGGUAGCUAAGUUCGGAAAGGAUAACCGCUGAAAGCAUCUAAGCGGGAAGCCUCAUCCAAGAUGAGUAUUCUCUGGGAACUAGAUUCCCCUAAAGGGCCGUUGAAGACUACGACGUUGAUAGGCACCAUGUGGCAGUCCAGUAAUGGAUGUAGCUAAGGUGUACUAAUUGCCCGUGAGGCUUGAUUCUAUAACCUUGACUGGUUU
rnacentral:rRNA from 2 species